AUACUUACCUGACAAGGGAGAUACCAUGAUCAUGAAGGUGGUUUUCCCAGGGCAAGGCUUAUCCAUUGUACUCUGGAUGUGCUGACCCCUGCAAGUUCCCUAAAUGGAAAAUUGACUGCAUAAUUUGUGGUAGUGGGGUCUGCAUUCACACUCUCCCCUG